GCUAGGCGUGGUGGCACACGCCUGAAAUCCUAGCAGCUGGGAGGCUGAGACAGGAGGAUUAUGAGUUCAAAACCAGCCUCAGCAACAGGGAGGCGCUAAGCAACUCAGUGAGACCCUGUCUCUA
rnacentral:sRNA from 1 species